rnacentral:misc_RNA from 1 species
AACGCACGAGACCUGCGGACCUGCGGAAGGAUCAUUACCGAGUGCGGGCCCUCUGGGUCCAACCUCCCACCCGUGUUUAUUGUACCUUGUUGCUUCGGCGGGCCCGCCAUUCUGGCCGCCGGGGGGCUUGCCCCCGGGCCCGCGCCCGCCGAAGACACCCUCGAACUCUGUCUGAAGACUGUAGUCUGAGUGGAAUUAUAAAUUAUUAAAACUUUCAGCAAUGGAUCUCUAGAUCGGAAG